rnacentral:rRNA from 1 species
UACAGGGGGGGCUAGCGUUGCUCGGAAUCACUGGGCGUAAAGGGUGCGUAGGCGGGUCUUUAAGUCAGGGGUGAAAUCCUGGAGCUCAACUCCAGAACUGCCUUUGAUACUGAAGAUCUUGAGUUCGGGAGAGGUGAGUGGAACUGCGAGUGUAGAGGUGAAAUUCGUAGAUAUUCGCAAGAACACCAGUGGCGAAGGCGGCUCACUGGCCCGAUACUGACGCUGAGGCACGAAAGCGUGGGGAGCAAACAGG